AAGGGAGACCUAAUUCCGGUAGGAGACGAGAAAAAAGUAGUCCCAACCAAGAAUCAAUCCCAAAAGGUCGGAACGAGGUAUGAGGCUUUCAAACUAGGUUCUGGGUUCAUAAAAGACCUGAAUCAGGAACAAGGGCUAUUAGCUCAGGUGGUUAGAGCGCACCCCUGAUAAGGGUGAGGUCCCUGGUUCGAGUCCAGGAUGGCCCACCUGCACAGGUGGCAAAAACAAGAGAAGCUCCGAAUCAGCACCUUAUCUUAUAUACAUAUAUAAGAGAGAAUGCUGGCUCUGAGUAAAGAGUCCAGAGGAACCUUGAAAACUGCAUAGAGCUAGGUGAAAAAGCCAAAAAAGAAGACCGCAA
rnacentral:tRNA from 1 species